AAUGAUGCGCUGGAAAGUGAAACUACUAUGUUGAAGAAUAUUCAGCUUGCUAGAACACUACAAGUUUUCCCUGUAUAUGUUUACUGUAUAUUUUCAGCAACUAUGAAAGCUGCAAAAAACCCACAUAUUACCUCAGAAGUAAUCUCAGUAUUUUAAUUCCCCUGUGGAUGCAGAUGCCUGAGGCUCAGCCCUGAAGCAGACACGUAAGCUCCUGAGGUUGUUCAAGCAUCUUGCACAGUCUACAAAGAACUAUGCGUAUUUCUUGAGUCCUAUGGGGAAUGUUUUUGGAGAUCCCUGUCUACCCUUGCUGACAUCACAGGAGCUUAAGCAAUAGUUCCAGGAAGCGUUUGUAAGUAACUGAAGUUUUCAGUUUAUUCUGGUACUUACUACAUUGAGAGACACAGUAUAUACGUACUAGCGUCUACUAUAUACUACUAUACGUCCAAGGUUCCUUUCAGCGCAAGCCUGCUGGGCUCCACUAAAGUAAGCCCAAAUGGAGAGUUUCCUUGAUGUUUGUUCCUGAAAGGCAGUGUGCAUGAAGACCAUUCCAAAUUAUGUUCCCUCUGUUUAAAAUCCCUUCAGAUUUUGCUUGUAUUCACUACUCCCUUUCUUAUUCUCUCGUGUCUUCAUUUCUUUUGCUUUCUAUUUUUUAUUUUAUUUUUGAAUAUACAUUUUCAAAGUCUUCUUGCCUCAAUGGAAUUUUACUAUAACUCAUUCAGACUAUGUAUUUUUUUUUUGUUGUUCUUUUUAUACCUUUUUGAUCUGACCAUACUAUUAAAGCAUACAAAGUACUAAUUCCUACCAAUUCUCUACCAGUUAAUACUGUAUUAUUUUCUUCUCAGUUGCUGAUUUCAUCUUUUAUUCUCUAUCCACGGUGAAAAGGGUAGACUAAUUAGAUUUUAAAUGCCAUAGUGUAGUUCUAAAUAAAGUAUUAUUCAUUAAAAAUUAACCUUUUAUUAUGACAAUUCUUGAUAUAAUAGGGCACACAUUGACUGUAAGCUAAUUUAUACAUUUAAAUUCUAUCUCCAUAAGAAAAAUUAGACAGUUAUAUAAUAUAGGAGGAUAAAUGAAACAUGGAAGUGUUACUGUAAAGCAAUUGUAGUAGAAUGACAAUUGCUUGAAAAAGUAAUAAUUGUUUCAUAGUGCUACAUGUUAUGUAGUGUACAUGUAUGUAGUAUAAAAACUGAAUUUAAAACAGUGUUAAUGAGUUUUUCAAUUUUUUUUUUUUCUGUGUGUGUGCUGUGUCUCCUGACAAGUUGCAUUGGACACACAUCACAUAACAGUUUUAUUUUCAACUUUUUAUCAUUAGCAUAACAAGAAUUUAGCUUUCCAGGACGCUAUACAGGGAAAUGUUUUCUCUGUAUAAAAUUUUCUCAAGGUCUUUAACAGUCCUUUUAUUAUUAUGAUGAUUAAUACCCUACUUUUGAAAUUUCCUUUAUGCUAUUAUUCAAACUUUAGGAAUAAUGUCAUGUAGUCCUGGAGAGGAGUCAUCCUGUUUUGUUAACUCACUAAUUCCUGUGUCAUCCAUUUGAACGCGUGCCCAGCGUAUCAUUUUUUCUAAUGUACUUAGUAAUGGGUAAAAUAGUGGUAGUAAUAAAACCUAUUGCUUCAGCUAUGUUACUACAUUAAA
rnacentral:lncRNA from 1 species